UCCCUGGUGGUCUAGUGGUUAGGAUUCAGCGCUUUCACUUGCUGCAGAUUGGGUUCAAGUCCUGGUCUGGGAA
rnacentral:tRNA from 1 species